rnacentral:rRNA from 1 species
GACGAACGCUGGCGGCGUGCUUAACACAUGCAAGUCGAACGGAAAGGCCCUGCUUGCAGGGUACUCGAGUGGCGAACGGGUGAGUAACACGUGGGUGAUCUGCCCUGCACUUCGGGAUAAGCCUGGGAAACUGGGUCUAAUACCGGCUAGGAGCCAUUUUUAGUGGGAUGGUUGGAAAGUUUUUUCGGUGUAGGAUGAGAUCGCGGCCUAUCUGCUUGUUGGUGGGGUUAUGGCCUACCAAGGCGGCGACGGGUAGCCGGCCUGAGAGGGUGGACGGCCACAUUGGGACCGAGCGACGGCCCAGACUCCUACGGGAGGCAGCAGUGGGGAAUAUUGCACAAUGGGCGCAAGCCUGAUGCAGCGACGCCGCGUGGGGGAUGACGGCCGUCGGGUUGUAAACUCCUUUCGCUAGGGACGAAGCUUUUUGUGACGGUACCUAGAUAAGAAGCACCGGCUAACUACGUG